GGAUUUGUCUGGUUUUGGAAUAUUACUCGGUGAUGAGAUAGGUGGUGGCGUUACAUCAAAAGUGUCAGUGGAGACCAACUAUGUACUGAAAAGAUAGCGAUAAGAUUUGUAGAAUUGUGCUUGGAGACAAGUUUUUAAUGACCUGUCUUCCGAUUCACUUAUUCCAGUUUUCCUGAUCCAAAGUUUAAUUCAGGGGAGACAUAGAUGAAAAGAUAGAUCGGAGUAUGGACCAAUGAUGAAACAACACUGUGUGCUAGUCCGGUAGAGUUAAAUUUUGGGGUUCCCCGAAAUCACCAAGAACGGCGUUUGGAAGCAGGCGACGGACGAUGCGUGUGCCGUGUGGACUGUGAUUCUGUGUGUUGGAUCCCGAUGUGUUAAGUAUUCGAAUUAGAGGUAUGUCACUAACUGACUGACUUCACUGUAGCAGUGAUAUAAGUACACACAAUAAGAAGAAACAAUAAAGUGAUGUUUGGUUUGGAUAUUUUCCCUCAUCCUCAAUGUCCCCAACGCAGCAACUCCUGAAACUCCCUAUAUAGCAAUAUAGGUCUGCCUGCGUCGGUGCCUCUCCCCAAUUUCCGCUGCAAAAGAACUACUUAUCAUCGCUGAAAAUCUGCUCUUGCAGACUUUGCGCUAGUGGAAAAUGGCUCGGCAAUGAAUAACCCGCGGCGUGGGUAUAAUGAUAUAUCGAUAUCUGCCUGUACAUCUAGUAUCUAUCUAUCCACCUUGCCCUGCCCUGCUCUGAUACUCCUACUGUGGAUGGUUAGUGCUUCUCUGCCAUCUCAAACGUCAGAGUCCAUGUUAUGUGCUUCAGUUUUCAAGAAGACGUGAAUAGUGGAAGAAUCCAUAGAGAGAUGAGUUUUUCUUUCUUUCUUUGUAAGUGAGCGAUUUAGCGAUGAGUUAGAUAUCUUUGUAAACUGAAUUGGAUCAUUAGGAGGUAAUGAGUACUUAAAAUUUUAAUCAACUAAUUAAGAAAGAUUUGACAUUACGUUUACAG
rnacentral:lncRNA from 1 species